rnacentral:rRNA from 1 species
UACGUAGGGUGCGAGCGUUGCCCGGAUUUAUUGGGCGUAAAGGGCAGGUAGGUGGUCUCGUUUGUCUGGGGUGAAAGCCUUGAGCUUAACUCAAGAAGUGCCCCGGAAACGGCGAGACUGGAGUCUUGGAGAGGGUCGUGGAAUUCCCGGUGUAGCGGUGAAAUGCGCAGAUAUCAGGAAGAACACCCGUGGCGAAAGCGGCUCUCUGGAGCGGUACUGACGCUGAGACGCGAAAGCGUGGGGAGCGAACAGG